UGGUCAUAUCUCAAGGAAACUUGGAUGGUACAGUUCUACAGAUAAGAUACCAGGAUGUGAACCCACACACCCAGAUGUGUCCUGGGAACAGCAGCCCAGCCCAGCCCCCACCCCAGCCAGUGUAAGGGGCCACAGCUGCUACUUUUCCUGGCAACAGACUCUCUGAGCAUAAGGAUGUUCUCAGCUUCUGCCCCUAAACUGCAUCACACAACAACACAGACACAUUUAAUCAAGAUCGCACUGAACUUCAUAAGG